GAUGAACGCUGGCGGCGUGCCUAAUACAUGCAAGUCGAGCGAAUGGAUUAAGAGCUUGCUCUUAUGAAGUUAGCGGCGGACGGGUGAGUAACACGUGGGUAACCUGCCCAUAAGACUGGGAUAACUCCGGGAAACCGGGGCUAAUACCGGAUAACAUUUUGAACCGCAUGGUUCGAAAUUGAAAGGCGGCUUCGGCUGUCACUUAUGGAUGGACCCGCGUCGCAUUAGCUAGUUGGUGAGGUAACGGCUCACCAAGGCAACGAUGCGUAGCCGAGCUGGGAGGGUGAUUGGCCACACUGGGACUGAGACACGGCCCAGACUCCUACGGUAGGCAGCAGUAGGGAAUCUUCCGCAAUGGACGAAAGUCUGACGGAGCAACGCCGCGUGAGUGAUGAAGGCCUUCGGGUCGUAAAACUCUGUUGUUAGGGAAGAACAAGUGCUAGUUGAAUAAGCUGGCACCUUGACGGUACCUAACCAGAAAGCCACGGCUAACUACGUGCCAGCAGCCGCGGUAA
rnacentral:rRNA from 1 species